rnacentral:misc_RNA from 1 species
GAAAUGCGAUAAGUAGUGUGAAUUGCAGAAUUCAGUGAAUCAUCGAAUCUUUGAACGCACAUUGCGCCCUUUGGUAUUCCUCAGGGCAUGCCUGUUCGAGCGUCAUUUAAACCUUCAAGCUCAGCUUGGUGAUGGGUGACUGUCCUCCCCUCGCGGGGGGGACUCGCCUCAAAAACAUUGGCGGCCGGUACAUUGGCUUCGAGCGCAGCAGAAACGCGGUCUCGAGUCCGGUGGAUCGGCUCCCAUAAGCCUUCUUUUUUAUUUUGACCUCGGAUCAGGUAGGGAUACCCGCUGAACUUAAGC